UACGUAGGGGGCGAGCGUUGUCCGGAUUUAUUGGGCGUAAAGGGCGCGUAGGCGGCUUGUCAAGUCGUGCGUGAAAUACCUCGGCUCAACCGGGGCACGUCGUGCGAUACUGGCAGGCUUGAGGCCGGUAGGGGGAAGUGGAAUUCCCGGUGUAGUGGUGGAAUGCGUAGAUAUCGGGAGGAACACCAGUGGCGAAGGCGGCUUCCUGGACCGGUCCUGACGCUGAGGCGCGAAAGCGUGGGGAGCGAACUGAAUUAGAUACUCAGGUAGUCCACGCUGUAAACGAUGGGUGCUAGGUGUCGGGGGUAUCGACCCCUCCGGUGCCGGAGCUAACGCAUUAAGCACCCCGCCUGGGGAGUACGGCCGCAAGGCUAAAACUCAAAGGAAUUGGCGGGGGCCCGCACAAGCAGCGGAGCGUGUGGUUUAAUUCGACGCAACGCGAAGAACCUUACCCAGGCUUGACAUCUGGGUGAAAGGGCUGGAAACAGUCUCCUCCGCAAGGACACCUGGACAGAUGCCGCAUGGCUGUCGUCAGCUCGUGUCGUGAGAUGUUGGGUUAAGUCCCGCAACGAGCGCAACCCUCGCUGCCAGUUGAGUUUUUCGGGCGGGACCGCCGGGCCAAACCCGGAGGAAGGGGGGGAGGAGGCCAAGUCUCCACGGCUCUUACGCCUGGGGCUCCCCCCACGCUCCAAGGGCGGGUCCAGAGGGGCGUUAAGCCGGGAGGUGGAGCAAUUCCCAAAAAACCGGUUUCAGUUGGGUUGGCAGGCGGCAAUUGGCCGGCAGGAAGUGGGAGCGGUUGGUAUCCGCAGGUCAGCACACUGGGGUGAAUACGUUCCCGGGCCU
rnacentral:rRNA from 1 species